rnacentral:rRNA from 1 species
GAAUAUUGGACAAUGGGGGCAACCCUGAUCCAGCCAUCCCGCGUGUGCGAUGAAGGCCUUCGGGUUGUAAAGCACUUUUGGCAGGGAAGAAAAGGCUCUGGCUAAUACCUGGAGCUGCUGAAGGUACCUGCAGAAUAAGCAACGGCUCACGACGUGCCAGCAGCCGCGGUAAUACGUAGGGUGCAAGCGUUAAUCGGAAUUACUGGGCGUAAAGCGUGCGCAGGCGGUUUGGCAAGAAGGAUGUGAAAUCCCAGGGCUUAACCUUGGAACUGCAUUCUUAACUGCCAGGCUAGAGUAUGUCAGGGGGGGGUAGAAUUCCACGUGUAGCAGUGAAAUGCGUAGAGAUGUGGAGGAAUACCGAUGGCGAAGGCAGCCCCCUGGGAUAAUACUGACGCUCUUGCACGAAAGCGUGGGGAGCAAACAG